GCCGGCGACCGGCGCACGGGUGAGUAACACGUAUGCAAUCCACCUGUAACAGGGGGAUAACCCGGAGAAAUCCGGACUAAUACCCCAUAAUAUGGGCUCUCCGCACGGAGGGUCCAUUAAAGAGAGCAAUUUUGGUUACAGACGAGCAUGCGCUCCAUUAGCCAGUUGGCGGGGUAACGGCCCACCAAAGCGACGAUGGAUAGGGGUUCUGAGAGGAAGGUCCCCCACAAUUGGAACUGAGACACGGUCCAAACUCCCUACGGGAGCCAGCAGUGAGGAAUAUUGGUCAAUGGUCGGCAGACUGAACCAGCCAAGUCGCGUGAGGGAAGACGGCCCUACGGGUUGUAAACCUCUUUUGUCGGAGAGUAAAGUACGCUACGUGUAGCGUAUUGCAAGUAUCCGAAGAAAAAGCAUCGGCUAACUCCGUGCCAGCAGCCGCGGUAAUACGGAGGAUGCAAGCGUUAUCCGGAUUUAUUGGGUUUAAAGGGUGCGUAGGCGGCACGCCAAGUCAGCGGUGAAAUUUCCGGGCUCAACCCGGACUGUGCCGUUGAAACUG
rnacentral:rRNA from 1 species